ACAGCAGCCGCCGCGGUAAUACGUAGGUGGCAAGCGUUGUCCGGAAUUAUUGGGCGUAAAGCGCGCGCAGGCGGAUAGGUCAGUCUGUCUUAAAAGUUCGGGGCUUAACCCCGUGAUGAGAUGGAAACUGCCAAUCUAGAGUAUCGGAGAGGAAAGUGGAAUUCCUAGUGUAGCGGUGAAAUGCGUAGAUAUUAGAAAGAACACCAGUGGCGAAGGCGACUUUCUGGACGAAAACUGACGCUGAGGCGCGAAAGCCAGGGGAGCGAACGGGAUUAGAUACCCCCGUAGUCCCUGUCUCUUAUACC
rnacentral:rRNA from 1 species